rnacentral:rRNA from 1 species
UACGUAGGCAGCGAGCGUUGUUCGGAAUUACUGGGCGUAAAGCGUGCGCAGGCGGUUUUGUAAGUCUGUCGUGAAAUCCCCGGGCUCAACCUGGGAAUUGCGAUGGAGACUGCAAGGCUAGAAUCUGGCAGAGGGGGUAGAAUUCCACGUGUAGCAGUGAAAUGCGUAGAGAUGUGGAGGAACACCGAUGGCGAAGGCAGCCCCCUGGGUCAAGAUUGACG